CCUACGGGUGGCAGCAGUGAGGAAUAUUGGUCAAUGGACGAGAGUCUGAACCAGCCAAGUAGCGUGAAGGAUGACUGCCCUAUGGGUUGUAAACUUCUUUUAUAUGGGAAUAAAAUGUUCCACGUGUGGGAUUUUGUAUGUACCAUAUGAAUAAGGAUCGGCUAACUCCGUGCCAGCAGCCGCGGUAAUACGGAGGAUCCGAGCGUUAUCCGGAUUUAUUGGGUUUAAAGGGUGCGUAGGUGGAUUGUUAAGUCAGUUGUGAAAGUUUGCGGCUCAACCGUAAAAUUGCAGUUGAAACUGGCAGUCUUGAGUACAGUAGAGGUGGGCGGAAUUCGUGGUGUAGCGGUGAAAUGCUUAGAUAUCACGUAGAACUCCGAUUGCGAAGGCAGUUCACUGGACUGCAACUGACACUGAGGCUCGAAAGUGUGGGUAUCAAACAGGAUUAGAUACCCGAGUAGUC
rnacentral:rRNA from 1 species